rnacentral:sRNA from 1 species
ACAAUGGGUGACUAGGGUUCCGAUCCGGACACGGCCUGCCGGCCGCACCGGAUGGCUGGUCCGAGAGUCACCGACCUCUGGGAGGUUACACGGCGGGACAAAAGCCCGGGAGAU